UCAAACAGUCUGCUCUGAAUUGAUUUGACCCAAAGAACUGGGCUGAGGCGUCAGGGUAGGGGAUCGGUGCAUUGAUACAACUGUCAGUGAAAAUGACCCAGCCAAUAACCCUGCUGUUGGGUUACAUAAAACUACCCCAAAACUACACAAGACUGAGAAAAUAACCCAAUUAAAUUACCCAAAUGACUCAACCCAGGGUUUGGGUAAAAAAAGAAAACCCAGCAUUUUUUUUAGUGUUGAAUAAGUAUUCCUAUUCUUCUACAUUUUGUAGUGUCACAAGAAAUCCCAUUUGAAAUCCCAUCAGCAAACAUGUGGAAAAAGGUUCUCUUGUCUGAUGAGACCAAAAUUGACAUUUUGUUUGGCAGAAACCCAACAAUGCCUACAAAUCAGCCUACACCCAAUCAGCCAGAGAAUGCCAUCCUAACAUUGAAGCAUGGAAGUGGUAGCAUCAUGUUGUGGGAAUGCUUUUCAUCAGAAGGGACUGAGAAACUGGAUAGGGUUGAGGGCAAUAUAGAUGAUGUCAAAUACAGGGUAAUCCCAGAAGAAAACCUGUUCUAGUCUGCAAGAGAUGGGGUGGAGGCUUACCUUCCUACAGGACAAUAAAUCUAAACACACUGCCAAAGUCACACCAAAGUGCUUCAAAUCUAGGCAUAUAAAUGUGUUAGAAUGGCAGAAUCAAACCCAGACAUCACUCUGAAUGAGAAUCUGAAUCAAGACUUGAUAUUGCUGCUUACCAAAGUUCUCCAUCCAAUCUGACAAAGAUUGGGCAAUUUUGACAGCAAGAAUGGGCAAAAAUAUCAGGAUCCAGAUCUGCAAAGCUGAUCGAGAUAUAUCUUAGAAACUGUAAUUGCAGCCAAAUGUUCUACCAAGUGUUGACCCAGUAACCGCUUCAAGGGUUGCGGUGGAUCCAGAGCCUAUCCCGGGAACACUGGGUGCAAAAGAUGGAAUACACUAUGAAGGGGGCUGCAGUUCAUCCAGGUCAUCUCAAGGCACACACAUUCACACACUCAUUCAGAGUUAUCAAUCCACCUACCAGCUUAUUGAAGAGGUGCAAGGAAACCAGAGAGCAUGGAGUAAACCCACACAGAAAUGUUCAGAAAAUGAAUCUUGACGUUGGUUCACAAUGACCCAGCAAGCUAAACCCAGUAACUAACUAUAGCAACCAAAAAUAACUCAGCAUUUUCCAUACCUUAUAAGUUUAAUUGGAGUUAUUGUGUAAUUCAUAGUAUUAGAGUUUAAACUGAAUAGCUGAACAAAAACACAAUAAUUUAAGUGUUUAACGAUGCUAAUUAAUGAUGCUAAUAUGAUGAGCUACAUGGAUUGUUGUCCUGUAUGCAGUCAUUAGGAGAAGCAUUAAAAGUGGUCAGGUAUAAUUUA